GGAGGGGUGGCAGAGCGGCCGAAUGCACCGGUCUUGAAAACCGGCGUGUCGAAGGGCACCGAGAGUUCGAAUCUCUCCCCCUCCGCCA
rnacentral:tRNA from 2 species